rnacentral:rRNA from 1 species
UACAGAGGGUGCGAGCGUUACUCGGAAUUACUGGGCGUAAAGCGUGCGUAGACGGUUUCGUAAGUCGGGUGUGAAAUCCCCGGGCUCAACCUGGGAAUUGCAUUCGAAACUGCGAGGCUAGGGUACGGAAGAGGGAAGCGGAAUUUCUGGUGUAGCGGUGAAAUGCGUAGAUAUCAGAAGGAACAUCAGUGGCGAAAGCGGCUUCCUGGUCCAGUACCGACGUUCAGGCACGAAAGCGUGGGGAGCAAACAGG